UACAGAGGUCCCAAGCGUUGUUCGGAUUCACUGGGCGUAAAGGGUGCGUAGGUGGGCAGGUAAGUCAGUGGUGAAAUCUCCGAGCUUAACUCGGAAACUGCCAUUGAUACUAUCUGUCUUGAAUUAUCUGGAGGUAAGCGGAAUAUGUCAUGUAGCGGUGAAAUGCUUAGAUAUGACAUAGAACACCAAUUGCGAAGGCAGCUUACUACGGAUACAUUGACACUGAGGCACGAAAGCGUGGGGAUCAAACAGG
rnacentral:rRNA from 1 species